GUCCUACGGGGCGCAGCAGUGAGGAAUAUUGGUCAAUGGGCGGAAGCCUGAACCAGCCAAGUCGCGUGAGGGAUGACGGCCCUACGGGUUGUAAACCUCUUUUGUCGGGGAGCAAGACCCGCCACGAGUGGCGGAGCGAGAGUACCCGAAGAAAAAGCAUCGGCUAACUCCGUGCCAGCAGCCGCGGUAAUACGGAGGAUGCGAGCGUUAUCCGGAUUUAUUGGGUUUAAAGGGUGCGCAGGCGGACCAUCAAGUCAGCGGUAAAAUCGUGGGGCCCAACCCCAUCCCGCCGUUGAAAAUGGCGG
rnacentral:rRNA from 1 species